UAUUUUAAAAAUUUUAGCAAAUAAAAUUUCACAAAUCGUUAAAUUCCACAUUUAGGCUGUCAGUCAAUUUCUAUCCAUUGAUCAAACGGUUCGUGUUCUCAUAUAAUCACCUUCAUUUUCCUAAUCACAUAUUAAAGGUCACCAGACAAUGACCUUUUACGUGUAAGACAUUAACUUCUGUCCAACAGACAUAAAUCUAACACUGUGUUUCGUCGUUACCGUAUCUGGAGCUUUAUUUUUAUCACCGUAGUUCUGAAAUAAUUUUGUUGCUACAAUCUUCUUAAUGUAUCACUCGCAACUAUGGCAAUUAUGCCCUAGUUAACAGAUGCGCUAGUUAAUGUACUUGCUUUGAUGAUCCAAAAAUAGAUAAAUUUCAUAACGAAAAGUAAAAUCAUCUCAAGUUUAUUAGGGAGUGUAGGAGGUUGGACUACAACGCCAGCGAUCCGAUUUCGAUUCCCGGUUAAGACUGAUAUCCCGACUUGUAUUCAGCCCUGUGUAAUUUACCUUAAUCGGUACUGUUUCCUACGGAAGAGCAUUAGUGCCAAGUGUAUGUUAUUUAUUAACUCGAAAUUUCGAGUUAAUAAGUCUAAAUUUCGUGUUACAGCUACAAUAAUUUACGUUGAUGUAUAGGUCCUGGCCAAGAUUAGGUACCUGUUUUAUUCCCCGGGUAGCCUUACAGGGUCAUAUAAUUAAGAUAACCGGCUAGCGUUUGUUCAUAUAAAAUAUAACUAUUGAAACCACGUUUAUUUAUUUAUUUAUUUAUUCAUUUAUUGGGUUUAACGUCGCAUCGACACAAUUAUAGGUCAUAUAGCAACUUCCCAGCUUUUGUGUUGGAGAAAGACCCAAGGUGCCUAAACCAUGUUUUAGUCUGGAAGGGUUUUCGACCUAGUUUGAACCCAUUAUCAUGUAGGCAUAGUACUAGAGCGAUUUACACAAUCGAAUACCGCCGGAAGUAGAACAUUUAUGUCAACACCGGUUUCGUAUUUUCACGUGAAAACAGCCGAAAACUGAGAGGUUAUCAACAAAUUAUAGGUUUACGGGUACCAUGAGGAUUUUUCAUGCAUUUAAACGAAAGAAGUACAAGCGAACAGAUGACACAUUAAAGUGGCUGCAGAAGCUUGAAAAGUUAGAUACAGCAGGGGCAGUCAAAACAGUGGGAUAAUACUUCUAUGGUGUCCAACAUGUCUAGUCAGAUUGACAAUAGUGAAAGAUGGUCUGAUGGUACAAUGAUGUACAAAUGAUACUCUUUAACAAGUUGAACAUGUCUAGGUGUAAAAUGUUCUGUGGAUUCAUAUGAUGAGAAUGCCAGUGUUGAUCUGUAUGACUUAAUUAAACACAGAUAUUGAUACCUUCAGAUAUUUACCUGUGAAAUCUUCAGUGUCACCGUUCAGCUAUUGUUCAAGAUCAGUGUCUGCAGCUUGCACAGUUUAGUAUAGAGGAGCCUUCUGAAUCAACUUUGUUACAUAUUUGCUGUUAUUGUAGGACACGCAUGUAGAGAGCAGCAAUACCUGUCCAGCCGUGCAUGUAAAUGUGAUUCAGAAACUUUGAGAAUAUGUAAACAUGACACUGUUAUAAUUUUCAAAAUACUGUGUCUUGUAGUGUAUCAGUACUGUUUUGUCUCAGUUUAUAGCACAGUAUGUUCACAAAUCAAACAUAAGACCAUAGUGAUCAGUAUUAUUAAAAUCAUUAAUUAUUUGUAUGGUGACAAAAUUUAAUUUCAUGCAAUACCACAGUAAAACGUUUGAUAAUUUUCGCUUUUAAAGUUGUAAGUUUAAGGUUGGCAUAAAUUGUUGUUUUUUUUCUUUCAUAAAUCUAAAAAGUGAUUGGUCAUUAUAACUGCAAUAUUAUUUUAGUAUGACAAAGUUUAUAUUGAACUAAAACACUAAUGUAAAUUUUUGAACUAAUCAAUGCAUUUUCUUCUGUCUUAAAACAUUUGUUUAUGGUACGUGUCAUGGCCCAUAACUCCUCCAUAUUACUUGUGUUUUGUCCUUUUUCAUUUCACUAAAGAAUAGGUAGAGGUAUUGCACAUCCAUUUUUUAGCAUCCUGAUUUUGUAAAGUGUUGUAUGUAAGGUUUUAUCUCGGAAUUAUGUCUCAUCUAAAGGUGGGGAGAGGUAUUAAUUAUGCCUUCUCGUCUAUCAGCAUUAAGCCUGUCUGGCUUUAAGAGGACAAGCUGCUGGCCAGAUUCUGAUUAAACUUCACAGGGCUGAUCAGUACCAAGCAUAGUGUUGUGCAUAUCGCUUGCAUGUUUCGUUUUGAUGCACUAAAUUGCAGCCAUAGCUAAAAAUAGAAAAAUCUUGUUGGCUUUCACAGGUUAAAACUACUUAACAGAUUUUGAUGAAACUUCACAGGAGUGAUCAGUACUAAGUAUAUUUUUGCAUAUCACCAACACUUUCCAUUUUGCUGCACAAAAUAGCCGCCACAGCUAAAGGUAUACAUAGGUGGGAGACAUGUUUUGUCAUAAAAAUACCUAAAGCGCCUUCCACUUUGUUAAUGAAAAAUGUAACAAACGUCUUACAAUUGCAAACUGUAAUAAUUUGACAUUAAAUGCACUAGUUCCAUAACUGCAUUUGGCUUUUUUCAUAAUUAUUACCCUUUUCUUACCAUAGCAAUAUUUUGUGUAACAUGUUACCUCAUUAAGCAUCAUAAGAUCAGAAAGUUCUAUGACUCAGACAUGUUGGCCCUUUUGUACUUGUCAUGAGUAUGUUUUCAGUAAUUUAAAUUGUCAUUACUUUUUGUUGUGCCAGUUUACGGAAAUGAAGACUUAGUUGUCCAAAUGGUGUGCCUGUGCCUAUCCUGAUUUGUUUGUCUGGACAAUAUAUUAUUGAUUAGUCUUCACGAAACUUUGCAGGUUAAUUUCCUUAAGUUCCCUGUCAACUUGGAUAGUGGAACGGUUACUUUAGAAACACUACAGUGAUGUAACCACUGUACUAGUCCAACGUUUUGUAUUUCAGAUUUUAUAUCACAUUACAGGCUACUGGUCUUCAGCAGCCUCCAUAAAACUUUCAUAAAAGUUUCCAAAAAUGUUGUAUUUUGAUUUGAACUGGCAUUAUUCAAACAGUAAGAAGUAGUACAAUAAGGCAACAUUUGACCUCUUUUCCAGUACUUUUUGGUUUUCUCUGUUACUAUGAAAUUGCCUUUUCCUAGAAACUGGUUGGAUUAUUUUUGAUGUUCUUAUGUUUUAAUCAAUUGUGGCUAUGUUCUUUAUCUCAUGAAAAUUUCCAUUUUUGUAUAAUUCAUAUUUUUUACUGUCACCGAAGUGCAAUACCACAUACUUAUCACUUUCAUUAACAUACCUGUACUAUUUUCAUAAAACAUUAUAUAAAUCAUUAUAUUUCAUAUAAACAGAAUUAAAUAAAUAUUUA